AAUAUUUAUUUGGUUUGUACCAAAUUACCUGGUAAGUGAGUUCGGCAAAAUGCUAUGGUAAAAGCUUUUGUUAAAUGAUAUGUUUAAAUUAAAAUGCUUCAUUAAAUAGUGGAUUGAUAUUUAUAUAAACCUAACUUCGGUCAGCUGCCCUAACUUUGGUCAGUUUUUAGACAAAUAUGGUUUAUUGUUCCAAAUAUAGUUUUACAUAACACUUUAAAGUUAAUACCAAGCUUAGUAUAUUUUUUUAGAGCUGGUAUUUGUGAAGCACAUUUUUUGAAAGAGCACGUUAUCAGAACCAGUACCCGUUCAAAGUUAAAAGUAGGUGCAAGGCCAUGUUUGAAUCUCCCGAAGCAGUCCUCGUUUUCUCAGCCUUGCAGAAAAGAACCAUGUCUACGAAAGGCAUUACCACAGAAAUUGAGGCAUAAAAAUAUCAGUGACCUUCAAAAGUCAAUAAAUAAUCUGAAUGCUGAAGGUUUGUAGACAUAUAUAUAUAUGUAACAGUAAGGUUAGGUUGGUAUAACAGAGCAAUUGUCAAGAAAGCGCUGUUCAGAUUAUCCGUUUUUUAUAAAGUUCUCACAGUUUCAAGGAUGUGUAGAAAUUGAGUACAGGUCAUAAUAAUAAUCAGUAUGGUCUAAUGGAAACCUUGUAAAAGAAGUUAAAAUUAACUCAAAGUACAGGCAAAAUGUCAGAAAAAAAGGUUUAAAUUUUCCAAAUUGUAAUUGCUGUGUGUAAUUAAUGAUAAUACAUCUUUAAAACGGUAGUAUCACUAGCCUUAUAUCAUUCUUUAACAGGGGAUUGGAUCUUUUAUAACUGGAAAGAUAAUCUUGUUGGGAAGUUAAAAGGAGAUUAUCUUGUAUCUUUGAUUAGGGUAACAUUUGCUUCCGUUGCCACAAUUGAGGAAGUUUUAUAUAGAGGCUGGCAUGUUCCAUUGGAUAGAUUAAACAUUGAAAACCGCCGAUAUGAAACCCUUUACUCAAUUUUAGGUCAGUGUUUUAUUGUUAUAUUGUAACUUUUUGUUUUAAAAUUUGGCCUUGGUAUUUUUUGCCAUACUAACAUUUAUGUAAUAUUACAAUUGAAUUGAAUUCAGUCCAUUUAUGUAAUGGAGUGCCACAACUAGAAACAGAGUUGGCUCACCCGCACCACUUGCCGUUAUGGGACUGUAAAGAAAAGAAAGUGGUUACAAAAACCUUUUAUCGUCCAAAGACUUGCUGCAUUAUUGGUAGUGCAACUUGAUCCACUUCAAUAAAGUUUUUGAGAAAUAACAUUUACUUUUAUGUUUCAUUAGUCGAUUCGAAAAAAAGAGAAUCGCACAACCUGCAAAAACUGUGAGAGCUUUUCCAACAACACUGAAGUCCAAGUGCAAGGUGAUCCAGAUUGUAUUAAAGAUUUGGGUCAUUGACGAUGGAGAUGAAGUAACUUAAUGAAGUUAUUUAACUAAAAGCUGAAUUACAUUAUAACUUUAUUAUAGGACAUAUGUGGUCCUGAACAGAACAACAAACAAAAUGAUUGGCAAAAGCUGUUCUUUACCAACCAAAAAAUAAACACCGGGAAACCUUUAAAAUCACGAAGGUAUCAUCCAGAUAUCAUAGGGUGAGCAGUGGAACUAUAUAGCAGAUCCUCAGCUGUAAUGAUCACAUUCGAUUGAGCGGAGGCCCUGCUUGCAUGACAUUGCUACCUUCUGUCACAGUUUCACUUUCUCCCCCAACAAAAUCUGUCAAAACUAGUUGUUGCAUCGCAUCCUCAGAAAUAUUCUCUCAAUAAUUUUCUGCCAUCGCUAUAUAAUUUACCUUAUUUCUAUUUAACUAUCCUAAUAAAUACAAAAUGUUUUGAUAUUUGCUAUACUUUUUGUAGCCAAAUCUGAAACUUACUUAAACAUUACUAAACACAAUAAAUUAAACUUGCGGUUGCUAAAAUUGGUGCAGGAAUUUCUUAGUAAUAACCAACAAUCACAUAUAUACAAUAAUAACUUUUCUUAAACGCGUUUAUUCUUAAUUGGUUGGUUUGCCAGUCACUCUCCCUGUCUCAUAAACCAGUAAAUAUUAUUAGAAUAAGACUGUAUA